rnacentral:misc_RNA from 1 species
GCGGGGACGACCCUGC